rnacentral:rRNA from 1 species
CUACGGGAGGCUCCAGUGAGGAAUAUUGCACAAUGGGGGGAACCCUGAUGCAGCAACGCCGCGUGGAGGAUGACGCAUUUCGGUGUGUAAACUCCUUUUAUAUGUCAAGAAAAUGACGGUAGCAUAUGAAUAAGCACCGGCUAACUCCGUGCCAGCAGCCGCGGUAAUACGGAGGGUGCAAGCGUUACUCGGAAUCACUGGGCGUAAAGGACGCGUAGGCGGGCUGGAAAGUCAGGUGUGAAAUCCUACAGCUUAACUGUAGAACUGCACUUGAAACUUCUAAUCUAGAGUAUGGGAGGGGGAGAUAGAAUUAGUGGUGUAGGGGUAAAAUCCGUGGAUAUCACUAGGAAUACCUAAAGCGAAGGCGAUCUCCUGGAACAUUACUGACGCUAAGGCGUGAAAGCGUGGGGAGCAAACAGGAUUAGAUACCCGAGUAGUC